UACGUAGGAGGCGAGCGUUGUCCGGAAUCACUGGGUGUAAAGCGCGUGUAGGCGGCCUGCCAAGUCUGCUGUGAAAGCGCCGGGCUUAACCGGGCGAGGUCGGUGGAAACUGGCGGGCUGGAGGCCGGUAGAGGGGGGUGGAAUUCCCGGUGUAGUGGUGAAAUGCGUAGAGAUCGGGAGGAACACCAGUGGCGUAGGCGGCCCCCUGGGCCGGGCCUGACGCUGAGACGCGAAAGCGCGGGGAGCGAACGGG
rnacentral:rRNA from 1 species